AGAUGUCAUUUGCACAUCUUGGAACUGGUCGUCUUCAUGACAAUUUGAUCCCUGAUCAUUUCAUCUGAGAAAUGGCAUCUGAGUGAGCUUUGAAAAUGGCAAAUUCACAGGUUGCACUUCUCAGCUCAUAGAAUGCAGCUAUGUAAUGGUCAAUGGGCUCAUGAGGCAUCUGUACAUGGAAACAGAACCUGAAGCAUUCGGCAACAACAUUUAGUAGAGGAUUAAAAUGAGCAUCCUAUGAAGUCGCAUCUUGUGGAAAGUUGGUAACAGGAGAUGCUUGAAGAUUCAUUGCCCUUCAGGACCAAGGCAAUGAAGCAGUAAGACUUUCAGCUUGUCUGGAGUGUAAGUAGAAGUUUCUAUAGCAAGCAUAUAGUUGCUGAAGUAAAACUUCCAUUGCUCCCAGGGGAGUGGAGGAUCUCGUGGGGUAAGUAUGAGGAACGGUGGAGGCAGAACUUGUGUCAUGGUAAUAAGUGAGGAAGCAAGCUGGGGAACUCAGGACUGCAGAGGUACCUAGCAGCUGGGAAAUAGAAGCACUAUGACAAAAGGGGCAUUGCCCCUUUAAAUUUCUCUUCUCAGCAAGCUAUAGUUUCAGAGAACAGCAGGCUUUAGGCCUGUGGAGUUUCCCUGGGAGCAGCAACAGCAGAUAGCAGUAGCAGGAAUCAUGAGGCGCUUGGCUAAAUUAGAGUUCUAUUUCUCUGAUUGUCUUAUGCUCAUUGCCAGUUUGUUUUGUACCUGAACCCCUUUGAGGAAAACUCAGAAAGCUUGAUAACAGCAAAGCCCAGAGAAGAGGACCUCCUUCAAAAGCUGUAUUGGAAGCCAUCAGAUGUGGACAAGUAUGAAUUGGCAACAAUGAGUCUCAUAACAUACUAUGUGGAAAUUCCCAUAUAUAAAAAAAGUCAUCUGAUUUAUGAAAACACAUAUUACAGUUAAGACCGUAUGCUGCCAACAGACCAGACCAGAGGCCAAGCACUGAUGGCCACAAGGAACGUUUACACUUAAUAUAGCUUCUGGGACUUCUAAUCCAUACUGUCUGGGUCUGUAUGCUGUAAUGCUAAAAACAGUAUAUGAACGUGUAUUACAUGUAUUGAGUUUGUCAGGUCUGAAACAGGAAUUGCUCAUUUAAAAAAAAAAUUGAACCCU
rnacentral:lncRNA from 1 species